rnacentral:RNase_P_RNA from 1 species
CUGGCGGAUCGAGUAGUCGCGGGGGCGAAUGCCCUCGAGGAAAGUCCGGACAUCACAGGGCGAGGUGGUCGGUAACGCCGACCCGGGGAAACCCGCGGGAAAGUGCCACAGAAAACACACCGCCUAAGGCCGCCCUCGUUCGCGAGAGCGGCCCGGCAAGGUUGAAAAGGUGCGGUAAGAGCGCACCGGCGUCGCGGUGACGCGGCGGCCAGGCAAACCCCACCUGAUGCAAGACCAAGCCGGACCGUUUGCAGGCUGCCCGUCAAGGUCCAGGUCGGUUGCAGAGAUAGAUGGCUGCUCAAGACAGAAUCCGGCUUAUAGAUCCGCUACGGAA